UACGGAGGGUGCAAGCGUUAUCCGGAAUCAUUGGGUUUAAAGGGUCCGCAGGCGGUCCUAUAAGUCAGUGGUGAAAGCCUACAGCUCAACUGUAGAACUGCCAUUGAUACUGUAAGACUUGAAUUCGAUCGAAGUGGGCGGAAUGUGACAUGUAGCGGUGAAAUGCUUAGAUAUGUCACAGAACACCGAUAGCGAAGGCAGCUCACUAGGUCUGGAUUGACGCUCAGGGACGAAAGCGUGGGGAGCAAACAGG
rnacentral:rRNA from 1 species